UACAGAGGGUGCGAGCGUUAAUCGGAAUUACUGGGCGUAAAGCGUGCGUAGACGGUAGCGUAAGUCAGAUGUGAAAGCCCCGGGCUCAACCUGGGAAUUGCAUUUGAGACUGCUCUGCUCGGGUGCGGAAGAGGGAAGCGGAAUUUCCGGUGUAGCGGGGAAAUGCGUAGAUAUCGGAAGGAACACCAGUGGCGAAAGCGGCUUCCUGGUCCGACACCGACGUUCAGGCACGAAAGCGUGGGGAGCGAAUGGG
rnacentral:rRNA from 1 species